UCUCUGCUUACGCAGGCAGUUUCAUUAGAGUCCCCGGCAUUACCCGCUGGCAACUAAUGAUAGGGGUUGCGCUCGUUACAGGACUUAACCCAACACCUCACGGCACGAGCUGACGACAGCCAUGCAGCACCUAGUUUCGUGUCCUUUCGGAAAGACCCCUUUCAGGGCCGGUCACUAACUUUCAAGCCCAGGUAAGGUUCCUCGCGUACCAUCGAAUUAAACCACAUGCUCCUCCGCUUGUGCGGGCCCCCGUCAAUUCCUUUGAGUUUCAACCUUGCGGUCGUACUCCCCAGGUGGAAUACUUAACGCUUUCGCUUUGACACAUGCUCUAACGAGCAUACAUCUAGUAUUCAACGUUUACGGCGUGGACUAC
rnacentral:misc_RNA from 1 species